ACAUUUAAGAUCCAAAACUCUAGAUGAUUUUAAGGAAGCUUUUGACAAGGCACUGAAAAGAGGAGAAGGAUUUGCUGUUGCUCUGCGUGAUUGCACUAACUCAUUCAUGUCAAAAUUCGAUGCUGGCUGCGAAGAUGCUGCUAUUGAACAAGCAAGAUGGGACUUCUCAAAAAAAGUUCAUGAUAAACUUCUUCGCGAUAUUGAUGCGCAUGCAGCUUCAGUUCGUGAAGAAAAACUGUCCGAGCUUAGGGCCCAAUACGAGGGACAACUCAGUAAAGCACUGGUGGAACCUGUGGCUGCUCUUCUGGAUGCGGCCAGUGAUGAUACCUGGCCAGCAAUAAGAAGACUCCUCAAACGCGAGACUGCGUCAGCUGUAUCUGGACUUGCUUCAGCCCUUUCUUCAUUUGACCUUGACCAAGUAACUGUAGAUAAAAUGCUGGCGAGACUAGAGGAGUAUGCUAGAAGCCUUGUUGAAUCCAAGGCGAGAGAAGAAGCAGGGCGGGUUUUGAUCAGAAUGAAAGACAGGUUUUCAACAAUUUUCAGCCGUGAUUCUGAUUCAAUGCCAAGAGUCUGGACAGGAAAGGAGGAUAUUAGAGGAAUCACAAAAGCUGCCCGCUCUUCGUCGUUGAAGUUGCUAUCUGUAUUGGCUGCAGUUCGUUUGGAUGAGGAAAG
rnacentral:misc_RNA from 1 species